ACGCUCGACACCUACGGGGAGGCAGCAGUAGGGAAUCUUCCACAAUGGGCGCAAGCCUGAUGGAGCAACACCGCGUGAGUGAAGAAGGGUUUCGGCUCGUAAAGCUCUGUUGUUGGAGAAGAACGUGCGUGAGAGUAACUGUUCACGCAGUGACGGUAUCCAACCAGAAAGUCACGGCUAACUACGUCNCGCAGCCGUGGUAAUCUGAGCGGGCUGGCAAGGC
rnacentral:rRNA from 1 species